rfam:Massilia sp. WF1 contig34, whole genome shotgun sequence.
GGUGGGCGAGAUGAGUAUUCUUAAGGCGCUUGAAGAGAACAUCGGAGAAAGGAAACUCGGCAAAAUUGGUACCGUAACCUUCCGGGAUAAGGUACCGCCCCGGGUAGCUUGAUUGGUUUACUCCAGAGGGUGAAAGGGUGCAAAACUGCGUGCUGCGACUGUUUAAUAAAAACACAGCACUCUGCAACACGGAAAGGGACGUAUAGGAAUGUGAGCCUGCCCGGUGGCCUGGAAGAAUUAAAUGGAUGGGUGCAAGCUUCUUGAUUGAAGUCCCAGUAAACCGGCGGCCGUAACUAAUAACGGUCCUAAGGUAGCGAAAUUCCUUGUCGGUAAGUUCCGACCUGCACGGAAUGGCGUAACGAUGGCCACCACUGUCUUCCUCCGAGACUCAGCGAAGUUGGAGAAUGUUUGUGAUGAUGCAAAUCUUACCCGCUGGCUAGACGGAAAACCCAUGGAACCAUUACUGUAGCUUCUGCAUGGACUUUUUGAACAAUCUGUGUAGGAUAGGUGGGAGGGCUUGAAGCGGGGACGCCAGUUCUCGUGGAGCCAUCCUUGAAAUACCACCCUGGUUUGUUUGAGGUUCUAACCUUGGCCCGUUAUCCGGGUCGGGGACAGUGCAUGGUAGGCAGUUUGACUGGGGCGGUCUCCUCCUAAAGUGUAACGGAGGAGUUCGAAGGUACGCUAGGUACGGUCGGACAUCGUGCUAAUAGUGCAAUGGCAUAAGCGUGCUUAACUGCGAGACCGACAAGUCGAGCAGGUACGAAAGUAGGACAUAGUGAUCCGGUGGUUCUGUAUGGAAGGGCCAUCGCUCAACGGAUAAAAGGUACUCUGGGGAUAACAGGCUGAUUCCUCCCAAGAGUUCAUAUCGACGGGGGAGUUUGGCACCUCGAUGUCGGCUCAUCACAUCCUGGGGCUGUAGCCGGUCCCAAGGGUAUGGCUGUUCGCCAUUUAAAGUGGUACGUGAGCUGGGUUUAAAACGUCGUGAGACAGUUUGGUCCCUAUCUGCCGUGGGCGUUGGAAAUUUGAAGGGGGCUGCUCCUAGUACGAGAGGACCGGAGUGGACGAACCUCUGGUGUACCGGUUGUCACGCCAGUGGCAUUGCCGGGUAGCUAAGUUCGGAAGAGAUAACCGCUGAAAGCAUCUAAGCGGGAAACUCGCCUUGAGAUGAGAUUUCCCGGAGCCUUGAGCUCCUUGAAGGGUCGUUCGAGACCAGGACGUUGAUAGGUCGGGUGUGGAAGUGCAGUAAUGCAUUAAGCUAACCGAUACUAAUUGCCCGUACGGCUUGUCCCU